UCAAACUUGGUCAUUUAGAGGAAGUACAAGUCGUAACAAGGUAUCCGUAGGUGAACCUGCGGAUGGAUCAUUACUGAAGGAAUAAUUUCCUACGUACUGUGAACUGUAUUUUGAUUGACAGUCAGCGUUGGAUGCCUCUGGGUAGCCAACGCUGGCUGUACGAUUUAACACGUACCAAUGAAACUGAUUACUUUAGUAUUAAAACACUAAAGACAACUUUUAGCAAUGGAUCUCUUGGUUCUCGCAUCGAUGAAGAACGCAGC
rnacentral:misc_RNA from 1 species